CUAGGUCAUAGUGAUCCGGUGGUUCUGUAUGGAAGGGCCAUCGCUCAACGGAUAAAAGGUACGCUGGGGAUAACAGGCUGAUUCCUCCCAAGAGUUCAUAUCGACGGGGGAGUUUGGCACCU
rnacentral:rRNA from 1 species